GACGAACCGUACAAACGUUACUCGGAAUUACUGGGCUUAAAGGGUGCGUAGGCUGCGCAGAAAGUUGGGUGUGAAAGCCCUCGGCUCAACCGGGGAAUUGCAUUCAAAACUACUGUGCUCGAGGGAGACAGAGGUAAGCGGAACUCAAGGUGGAGCGGUGAAAUGCGUUGAUAUCUUGAGGAACACCGGUGGCGAAGGCGGCUUACUGGGUCUCUUCUGACGCUGAGGCACGAAAGCUAAGGUAGCAAACGGG
rnacentral:rRNA from 1 species